UGAGGGAAAGCUGCAAAGUACUCUGAAGAGAGAGUUCAAUAGGACGUGAACCCGUCUGCAGGGAAACGGGUGAGACCGCACGUUUGACUCACUGCGGAUUCAGCUCAGGGGGCCACUCUUKKKUGCACUUCCGUAUCGUGGGUUGCGUGGGGAUCGGUUUAGGCUGCGUCUAAAACCGUGAGGGCGGUAGUAGGUUGGCUCGCCUUCCUGCGAUGUAUCCUCGCGAUUAAUAACCGUGGCUUGGACCGAGGAAAUCGUCUGCCCGCUUCUUCCGAGGGGCGAAAGAUUUGUGAGUCGGCGUUUUGGUUCGACUGGAUGGGNGCUGGUCUCCGACUGGCCUUCUCCGACCGCCAGAGCGUUCUUUCUCAUGAGUCUGGUUUGUGGCAAUGCGAUCACCCACGCUCAGGUCGGCACCCCACCCGACCC
rnacentral:rRNA from 1 species